AGCGAACGCUGGCGGCAGGCCUAACACAUGCAAGUCGAACGGACCUUUCGGGGUUAGUGGCGGACGGGUGAGUAACACGUGGGAACGUGCCUUUAGGUUCGGAAUAGCUCCUGGAAACGGGUGGUAAUGCCGAAUGUGCCCUUAGGGGGAAAGAUUUAUCGCCUUUAGAGCGGCCCGCGUCGGAUUAGCUAGUUGGUGAGGUAAUGGCUCACCAAGGCUACGAUCAGUAGCUGGUCUGAGAGGAUGACCAGCCACAUUGGGACUGUGACACGGCCCAAACUCCUACGGGAGGCAGCAGUGGGGAAUCUUGCGCAAUGGGCGAAAGCCUGACGCAGCCAUGCCGCGUGGAUGAUGAAGGUCUUAGGAUUGUAAAAUCCUUUCACCGGUGAAGAUAAUGACUGUAGCCGGAGAAGAAGCCCCGGCUAACUUCGUGCCAGCCGCCGCGGUAA
rnacentral:rRNA from 1 species